GGAAGGGUCGCUCAGCGGAAGAGCACCGCGGCGUCUCUGACCCGCGGCGGCCGUCUGGCCUCGUGGCGUUCGAAUCCCACCCCUUCCG
rnacentral:tRNA from 1 species